rnacentral:pre_miRNA from 1 species
GAUUUCAACUGAAAAGGUCAUCAAUAACAAAGUGGUAUAACUCAUCAAGAUCUAUAACUUCUAUUUUAGUCAUUUCUUUAUCCGAUAAAGUGAUUUGUAACAUUAUUCGUAAAAUGUACAUCUCUUAUAUAGUUUUAUAGAAACUACAUAAGAGAUGUACAUUUUGUAAACAAUCUUACAAAUAACUUUAUUAGAUGAAGAAAUGACCAAUAGAAGUUAUAGAUCUUGAUGAGUUAUACAACUUUGUUAUCGAUGAUUUUUUCAGAUGAAAUC